rnacentral:rRNA from 1 species
UACAGAGGGGGCAAGCGUUAUUCGGAAUUAUUGGGCGUAAAGGGCGCGUAGGCGGCUUUGCAAGUGACGGGUGAAAGCCCUCGGCUUAACCGAGGAACUGCCUGUCAGACUGUAAGGCUUGAGACCGGGAGAGGUGAGUGGAAUUCCCAGUGUAGCGGUGAAAUGCGUAGAUAUCAGGAGGAACACCAAUGGCGAAGGCAGCUCGCUGGAACGGUACUGACGCUGAGGCGCGAAAGCGUGGGGAGCGAACAGG